AGCGAACGCUGGCGGCAGGCCUAACACAUGCAAGUCGAACGAACCCUUUGGGGUUAGUGGCGGACGGGUGAGUAACACGUGGGAACGUGCCUUUAGGUUCGGAAUAACUCAGGGAAACUUGUGCUAAUACCGAAUGUGCCCUUCGGGGGAAAGAUUUAUCGCCUUUAGAGCGGCCCGCGUCUGAUUAGCUAGUUGGUGAGGUAAUGGCUCACCAAGGCUACGAUCAGUAGCUGGUCUGAGAGGAUGACCAGCCACAUUGGGACUGAGACACGGCCCAAACUCCUACGGGAGGCAGCAGUGGGGAAUCUUGCGCAAUGGGCGAAAGCCUGACGCAGCCAUGCCACGUGGAUGAUGAAGGUCUUAGGAUUGUAAAAUCCUUUCACCGGUGAAGAUAAUGACUGUAGCCGGAGAAGAAGCCCCGGCUAACUUCGUGCCAGCCGCCGCGGUAACAC
rnacentral:rRNA from 1 species